rnacentral:rRNA from 1 species
AUUGAACGCUGGCGGCAUGCCUUACUCAUGCAAGUCGAACGGCAGCACGGGUGCUUGCACCUGGUGGCGAGUGGCGAACGGGUGAGUAAUACAUCGGAACGUACCUUAUCGUGUGGGAUAACGCAGCGAAAGCUGUGCUAAUACCGCAUACGCCCUGAGGGGGAAAGCGGGGGAUCGAAAGACCUCGCGCGAUUAGAACGGCCGAUGCCUGAUCAGCUUUUUGGUGGGGUAAAAGCCCACCAAGGCGACGAUCAGUAGCUGGUCUGAGAGGACGAUCAGCCACACUGGGACUGAGACACGGCCCAGACUCCUACGGGAGGCAGCAGUGGGGAAUUUUGGACAAUGGGGGCAACCCUGAUCCAGCAAUGCCGCGUGAGUGAAGAAGGCCUUCGGGUUGUAAAGCUCUUUUGUCAGGGAAGAAACACCGGCUCUAACACAGUCCGGGAAUGACGGUACCUGAAGAAUAAGCACCGGCUAACUACGUGCCAGCCGCCGCAGUAA